GACGAACGCUGGCGGCGUGCCUAAUACAUGCAAGUCGAACGAACCGCGACUGAGUGCUUGCACUUGGUCAAGGUGAGUGGCGAACGGGUGAGUAACACGUGGGUAACCUACCUCAUAGUGGGGGAUAACAGUCGGAAACGACUGCUAAUACCGCAUAGGACAUGGGAUCACAUGAUUCUGUGAGGAAAGGUGGCGCAAGCUAUCGCUAAGAGAUGGACCCGCGGUGCAUUAGCUAGUUGGUAGGGUAAGGGCCUACCAAGGCGAUGAUGCAUAGCCGACCUGAGAGGGUGAUCGGCCACAUUGGGACUGAGACACGGCCCAAACUCCUACGGGAGGCAGCAGUAGGGAAUUCCGCAAUGGACGCAAGUCUGACGGAGCAACGCCGCGUGAGUGAAGAAGGUCUUCGGAUCGUAAAGCUCUGUUGUUAGAGAAGAACAGCGCAUAGAGUAACUGCUA
rnacentral:rRNA from 1 species